AUGGCACUGGCUGCAGCUAGGGGGAGCUCCAGAGCACAGCUCCUCUUCUAGCCAGCCGAGGGAAGCUCUCUGCUCCGUCAGCCUGAUGAUGAAAGCCAAAGACAGAUGAAUCCCACCCUGCCCGUUUUUGUGCGCCCUACCAACCCGCCGUUUUCUGCCUGCCGUACCCCGCCACGCCGCCAGACCCAGCCGUGCGCCGCCGGACCCGGUGCUGCUCCUGCAUAGGGAGGAGGAAGAUUGCUCUUCAAUCUUUGAAUGCAAAAUGAAACAAAUUAGCUUGUAAAGUACUACGGAACCAGUGUGCCUAAUUUCAGCUAUUUUCUCCUGCAUUAAACUCAUCAAGAUGAUGCCUGCAACAGUCCAAAGUACCUGUCCAGAAGCGGCAUCCCUGUAUUAUUGUUCAUAUUGAAUAUGAUUGCUUAUAUUUUUUUUUCUUUCUCUUAUUUAAAUUCUAUAUGAAAAUGCCAUUUGUCAUCAUUAAUUUGAUGGUGAUGACUGCCAUCUCGAAUGUGCGGUGUUCAGUAUACACUUUAAAUGGCCUUAUCUUCAUUUAGAGGUAGUUAGCUCACA